rnacentral:rRNA from 1 species
CCUACGGGGGGCUGCAGUGGGGAAUAUUGGGCAAUGGGCGCAAGCCUGACCCAGCAACGCCGCGUGAAGGAUGAAGGUUUUCGGAUCGUAAACUUCUUUGAUCGGGGACGAAAUUGACGGUACCCGAGGAACAAGCCACGGCUAACUACGUGCCAGCAGCCGCGGUAAUACGUAGGUGGCAAGCGUUAUCCGGAAUUACUGGGCGUAAAGGGCGUGUAGGCGGGAAGACAAGUCGGGAGUGAAAUCCCAGGGCUUAACCCUGGAGCUGCUUCCGA